GCCCGUCUAGCUCAGCCGGUAGAGCGCAAGGCUCUUAACCUUGUGGUCGUGGGUUCGAGCCCCACGGUGGGCG
rfam:Vitis vinifera, whole genome shotgun sequence of line PN40024, unoriented chromosome 18, chr18